CAGUAGCCGCGGUAAUACGAAGGGUGCAAGCGUUAAUCGGAAUUACUGGGCGUAAAGGGUGCGUAGGCGGUUAGUUAAGUCUGUCGUGAAAUCCCCGGGCUCAACCUGGGAAUGGCGAUGGAUACUGGCAUGCUAGAGUAUGGCAGAGGGGGGUGGAAUUCCACGUGUAGCAGUGAAAUGCGUAGAGAUGCGGAGGAACACCGAUGGCGAAGGCAGCCCCCUGGGCCAAUACUGACGCUCAUGCACGAAAGCGUGGGGAGCAAACAGGAUUAGAUACCCCAGUAGUCCCUGUCUCUUAUAC
rnacentral:rRNA from 1 species